rnacentral:rRNA from 1 species
AGUGAACGCUGGCGGUAGGCCUAACACAUGCAAGUCGAACGGCAGCACAGUAAUAUCUUGCUCUUAUGGGGUGCCAGUGGCGGAAGGGUCAGGAAUAUAUCGUAAUCUACUUUUUCGUGUGGGAUAACGUAGGUAAACUUACGCUAAUACCGCAUACGACCUACCGUGGAAAGCAGUGGAUCGUCUGACCUUUCGCGAUUGAAUGAGCCGAUGUCGGGUUAGCUAGUUGGCGGGGCAAAUGCCCACUAAGGCGACGAUCCGUAGCUGGUAGGAGUGGAUGGGUAGCCAGACUGAAAGUGAGACACGGUCCAGACUCAUAGGGGAGGGACCAGUGGGGAAUAUUGGACAAGGGGUGGAAGCUUGAUCCAGACAUACCGCGUGGGUAAAGAACGACUUCGGGUUGUAAAGCACUUUUGUUGGGAAAGAAAACCAGUAGGUUUAUAACGAGCUGUUAUGGCGGUAACCAAAGAAUAAAGACCGGCUAACUUCGGG